rnacentral:piRNA from 1 species
ACUGUUCUUAUGGCAUCAGUAUCUCUUCAA